UACCAAAAAUCUCACUCACUUUGACUUUUAGCUAUAAUCCAAUGAUAACCUAAACUUCAUAAGCAUGAAAGUGCCACCUGAAAUGGAGCGCCACGUGGCCUGAAGACAGAAUUGGAGAGACUGAGAAAACAGAAAAUGGAAUGCAGGCAUGACCUCCUGACCUUUAUCCACUUACCGUCAAGAAACUGCCAGUUUAAAUAAAGCUCCUGAUCAACCGAAACAACCUUGAAGGACUUAUAGGACACAACCAUGAGACCGUUUCCGUCAGGCUCGAC